GGGGCCAGGGCGCGGGGUCGACCCGCGUCCGAAGCAAACGCAUUAAGCCCCCCGCCUGGGUACUACGUUCGCAAGAAUAAAACUUAAAGGAAUUGGCGGGUGCCCGCACAAGCAGUGGAGCAUGCGGUUCAAUUCGUGGCUACACGUAGAACCUUACCAGGGUUUGACAUGCCGGCAAAGGCCCCGGAGACGGGGAGAUAGCUAUGCCGGACAAAGGUGGUGCAUGGCUGUCGUCAGCUCGUGUCGUGAGAUGUUAGGUCAAGUCCUCCAACGAGCGCGACCCCCGCCGCCAGUUGCCAUCAUCGAGUUGGGCACUCUGGCGGGACCGCCGGCGACAAGCCGGAGGAAGGCGGGGAUGACGUCAAGUCAUCAUGCCCCUUAUGCCCUGGGCCACACGCGUGCUACAAUGGCCGGCACAGUGGGAAGCGACGCCGCGAGGCGGAGCGGAUCCCAAAAGCCGGUCCCAGUACGGACCGGGGGCUGCAACCCGCCCCCGCGAAGCUGGAAUUGCUAGUAAUCGCGGAUCAGCCAAGCCGCGGUGAAUGCGUUCUCGGGCAUUGCACACACUGCCCGUCACACCAUGAAAGCCUGCAACGCUCUAAGUCGCCAGCCCGACCCGCGAGGGGGGGCGGCGCCCAAGGCGGGGCCGGUGAUUGGGGUUAAGUCGAAACAAGGUAUCCCUACGAGAACGUGGGGAUG
rnacentral:rRNA from 1 species